rnacentral:rRNA from 1 species
CACGUAGUUAGCCGGGGCUUCUUGGUCGGGUACCGUCCGCGGCUCUCGCGAACCGUGUUUCUUCCCCGCUGACAGAGCUUUACGCGCCGAAACGCCUCUUCACUCACGCGGCGUCGCUGCAUCAGGGUUUCCCCCAUUGUGCAAUAUUCCCCACUGCUGCCUCCCGUAGGAGUUUGGGCCGUGUCUCAGUCCCAAUGUGGCCGUCCGCCCUCUCAGGCCGGCUACUGAUCGUCGCCUUGGUGGGCCGUUACCCCGCCAACCAGCUAAUCAGACGCGGGUCCAUCCCGUACCACCGGAGUUUCAAGAAAGGAACAUGCGUCCCCUUCUGUUAUGCGGUAUUAGCACCUGUUUCCAGGUUGUUACUCCCCGGUAGGGCACGGUUCCCACGCGUUACUCACCCGUCCGCCACUAACGGCCCGCGCCCGUUCCGGGUCUCGGUAAACCACUCCCCCUUCCGCCGCCUCGGCCCCCGUUCGACUUCGCAGUGUGUUAGGCUACGCCGCCAGCCGUUCACUCC